CGGGUGAGUAAUACAUCGGAACGUGCCCAGUAGUGGGGGAUAGCCCGGCGAAAGCCGGAUUAAUACCGCAUACGACCUACGGGUGAAAGCAGGGGAUCGCAAGACCUUGCGCUAUUGGAGCGGCCGAUGUCAGAUUAGGUAGUUGGUGGGGUAAAAGCCUACCAAGCCUACGAUCUGUAGCUGGUCUGAGAGGACGACCAGCCACACUGGAACUGAGACACGGUCCAG
rnacentral:rRNA from 1 species